CAAAGUCUAAAACGUCAUGCUACAAUUCAAAAUGUACUUUAAAUGUGUGUAUAUUUAUAUAUUUAAAAGAAAAGUAGCAGAACAGUGAUAUUUCUUCAAAAUAUCUGAUGUUUGGCUGCUACUACACAAACCUUCACUGAGGUACAUGAACUUCUGCACAAACGUUUUUGUUAGAGAAAAUGAUUGAGGUGGGUUAUCAGUAAUCCAGACUAAGAAGACAGUAACCACCACUGCAGUGUUUACUGUCACGGUCCUGGGUCACUGACCUAGUGUUUUGUGUUAUUAUUAAUCUUUGAUUUCAUUAUGAUGUGUCAUUGCUAGUCUCUUGGUUUUUGUUUCUGUAUUCCUAACUCCCUAAGUUCUUUAGUAUCUCCUGAUUUCCAGUGUUAGGUUUUGUUUAUAUGCCUUCCCUGUUUUCAGUGUUAUGCCUACUCCGUGCCUUUUUCAUGUCUCUAUAUCUCAGUGUCAGGUCUGCAUCUCAGUGUUAUGCUUCCUGUUUUACUUUGACAGUCUGUUGUUACACCCCGGCCUAGGCAACCGGCAUGCAACACAGAAAAAAUAAAAAUAAGGGAAAAAAAAACAAAACAAAAAAAACUACUACGGGUCUCCACAAAAAAAUCCCAAAACGAAAGCAUCGACAACUAUUUUAUCAAAGCAAAAUAAGACAUUUAUUUACAUCAAAACACCAAACUAUUUACAACCGGGGGGGGGAGAGAUCGCGAACAUGACAAACUGAAACACAGGGCUUAAAUACAUAGAGGGAGCACUCAGGGAAUGGACAACAGGAGGGAAACACAGCUGGGGCAAAUCAGAACUGACGAGACAAGGAAGCGUAAACUGAACACACUGAGAUAAGACAGACUUUCAAAGUAAAGCAGGAAACACAACCGUCACGCCUAAAACAAAACACUGACAACACCGAAUCGUAACAGUUCCCCCCACCCAAAAAUCAAACAUUUAAAACAUGUAACCCCAAAGAAAAUGUUUGAUUCAUGCCCAGCGCAUACGGCACCGGCUGCUGUUCUGCAGGCGACGCUGAUGGCUGGACGGGCCCCUUGGAUCUUCCAGUGAAAACGGAAGGCUGGAGCGGUCCCUCGGACCCUCCAGCGAAGACAAACGAAGGCUGGAGCGGUCCCUCGGAUUCU
ensembl:lncRNA